UGGGGAAUUUUGGACAAUGGGCGAAAGCCUGAUCCAGCAAUGCCGCGUGUGUGAAGAAGGCCUUCGGGUUGUAAAGCACUUUUGUCCGGAAAGAAAUCCUUGGCUCUAAUACAGUCGGGGGAUGACGGUACCGGAAGAAUAAGCACCGGCUAACUACGUGCCAGCAGCCGCGGUAAUACGUAGGGUGCAAGCGUUAAUCGGAAUUACUGGGCGUAAAGCGUGCGCAGGCGGUUUGCUAAGACCGAUGUGAAAUCCCCGGGCUCAACCUGGGAACUGCAUUGGUGACUGGCAGGCUAGAGUAUGGCAGAGGGGGGUAGAAUUCCACGUGUAGCAGUGAAAUGCGUAGAGAUGUGGAGGAAUACCGAUGGCGAAGGCAGCCCCCUGGGCCAAUACUGACGCUCAUGCACGAAAGCGUGGGGAGCAAACAGGAUUAGAUACCCUGGUAGUCCACGCCCUAAAACGAUGUCAACUAGUUGUUGGGGAUUCAUUUCCUAGUAACGUAGCUAACGCGUGAAGUUGACCGCCUGGGGAGUACGGUCGCAAGAUUAAAACUUAAAGGAAUUGACGGG
rnacentral:rRNA from 1 species